rnacentral:rRNA from 1 species
GAUAAACGCUGGCGGCAUGCCUAAUACAUGCAAGUCGAACGCACAUAGCAAUAUGUGAGUGGCGAACGGGUGAGUAACACGUAAGUAACCAACCUUUGAGUCGAGGAUAACCGCUGGAAACGGCAGCUAAUACUGGAUAGGACGCGAUUUCAUAAGAAGACGCGUUUAAAGGCGCUGAAAGGCGCCGCUAAAAGCUGGGCUUGCGGCGCAUUAGAUAGUUGGUGAGGUAACGGCCCACCAAGUCAACGAUGCGUAGCUGGGCUGAGAGGCCGAACAGCCACACUGGGACUGAGACACGGCCCAGACUCCUACGGGAGGCAG